UGUCCAGGGGCGGGAAUCGAACCCACAACCUUCUGCUUACCGGGCAGGUGCCAUGUCCACUAGGCUACCCGGGAC
rnacentral:tRNA from 1 species